GGCGCCAGCGCUGUGUGCCUUUGCGAGGGCGGAGCUGCGGUCUCCUCAGCACAGACCCGGAGAGCAUUGCGAGGGCGGAGCUGAGUUCUCCUCUGCAGACUUCGGAGAUACAGCGAAGGCAGAGCAAUGUUCUCCUCAGCAGAGACGCGGGCGGGCGGGCCGGUGGCACCGCGAGGGCGGAGCUGCGUUCUGCUCUGCACAGACCUUGGGGGCACUGCCUCGCUUUGGGACAACUCAGGGCCGCAUGGACAGUGAAUAAAAUCCUUCCUGUUUGCAGCCCUGUUUGUGGUUGGUGGCAGCGAUGGACACUGCAGCCAGCCAGAGCGUAGAAAGGCGUCGGGUGAAAGAAGAUGGCCACGGAGACAGACAGCAGCGUGGUCAGAGUGGUAGGAGCCGGCCAUCAGCGAGAGCUGCUCCAUGCCUGGCUGCUGGGUCCUAGAGCCUGUGGCCCACUGGCUUGCCUCACUGUGGUUGGUGGUGGUGGUGACAGAGACUGCAGGACGACCAGAGUGGCUUUUCUGGUUUUGCCCGCCCAGCUGCUCUGUGCCAGGAGGAGGAGGAGACACCUAGAGCCUGCGACACCAUGGCUCGCCUCGCUGCGGGUGGGCGGCAGUGACAGAGACUGCGGUGCGCCAGAGCGGUAGGAGAGCGGCUGCGCUAGGAGGGCAGGCGGCUGCAGCCAGGGUUGGGGGUCAGGCUUAGAGCGAUGGACGGGCUGCAGCAGUGGCCAGGUGGUAGGAGCCUUGUAGGGAGGGCUGGUGCCUUGGCAAUGGGCCUGGCUUUGCCCUGCGCCUGCCGUGGAUCUGGCCCUGUACUGCCCUGCCUUGCCCUGUACCUGCCCUACUGUUACUUGGACUCUCGGCCCUGUCCUGCUCUGGUCCCAUCCUGACCCUGUCUUGGCCCUGUGCUACCCUGUCCCUGCCCUGGUCUUGCCCUGGCACUGGCCCUGCCCUGAACCUGCACUGGCCUGACCUUGGCUCUGGCCCUGGCUCUGGCCCUGCCUCUUGUCCUGACCCUGGUCGUGUCAUGGCACUGGCCCUGCCAAUGGUCAUGGUCCUGCUCCUGUUCUGGCCCUGACCUGGCCUUGGACAUGUCCUGGCCCUGCUUUGGCCCAUCCCUGCCCUGGCUCCACCAUGGGCCUGCCUGUUCUGCCCUCUCCUGGCACUGACCUUGCCCUGUCAUGGCCCAGUGGUGCCAUUGCCCUGCCUUACCCUGCGCUGGUUGUGACUUGGCCCCGCUUGGUGCUGGCCACUCCCUGGACCUGCCCUGGACCUGCCCUGACCCUGCCCUUGGCUUUUGCCCUGCCCUCACUAUGGCCUGGCCCUGGCCCUAGCCCUGGUCCUGCCAUAUCCCUGGCCCUGCCCUUAUCCAGGCCCUGCCCCUGCUGCUGCCCUGGCCCUGGCCUGGAACCUGGUCCUGUCAAGAACCUGCCCUGACUCUGCCAUGGCCCUGGCCCUGCUCUGCCUUGUUCCUGGCCCUGACCCAGACCCAGACCCUUUCCUGGCUCUGCACUGGACUUUCCCUGGCCCUGAGCUGGCAAUGGUCUGCCCCUGGUCUUGCCAUCACCCUGCCCUGCUGCGCUCUGGAUGUGUCAUCACCCUGCCCUGGCCCUACUCUGCCUUUGACCCUGCCCUGGCCUUACCUUGGCCCUCACCCUAGCCUGCGCUAGACCCUGCUCUGGAGCUGACCCUAGCACAGACCUGGCCCUGAUCCUGGCCGUGGUCUUUGUCCUGCCAUAGCCCUGGCCCUGAAGUGGACUUGGAGGUGUCCUGGCCCCGGCAUAACAUGGCUCUGCAUUGGCCUGUCCCUGCCCUGCCGCUACCAUCUCCUUGCCCUGCUCUGUCCUGUCCCAGUACUGACCCGGCCGUGCUAUUUCCCUUCCCUACCCUGCCUUGGCUGUGCCCUGGCUCGGUUCUGGCCCUGGCCCUGGCCCUGCCCUGGACAUGCUCUGACACUGCCUCAGCCUCGGCACUAGCCUGGCUCUUUCUUGGCAUCAGCUCUGCUCUCUCUGUGGACCGGCUCUUGUCCUGUCCUGCACUGGCCAUACCAUGCCCUGCCCUGCCCUGACUCAGUCCCGGGUCAGCCCUGGCCCAACCUUGGCCUUGGCAUUGCCCCUGGUCAUGCCAUAUUUCUUGCCCUGUCCCUACCCUGGCCUUGGCCCUGACCCUUACCUUGCUGUGGCCCUGCCCUUGCCCUAACGCAGCCCCUGGCCCUGUCAUGGCCCUGCCCUGGACCUGUCCUGGCCCUGGCCCUUCCCUGCUUGAGACCUUGCCCUGGUUCUCCCCUGGCCCUGACCCUGAAAUGCCUGGCCCUACCCUGGCCUUGCACUGCUCUGGCCCUUGCCCUGACUCUGGUCCUGUCACUGGCCUAGCCCCAGCCCUGUUGCUGGUCUUACCAUGGCCCAGACCCUGCCUUGGCCCUGCCCUGACACUGUCCUGGACCCUGGCUGUGCCAAGAACCUGCACUGUCCUUGCCAUUGUUUUGCUCCUGCCCUGAACCUGGUCUUCCCCAGGCCGUGGCCAUGGCCCUGGCCCUGGCCCUGCCCAGGU